CUGGCUACUGAUAUUUACGGUGGCCCUGAGGUGCCAAACACAAAUAGGCAAAUCAGAAAACACAACACAAAAAGAGAAAAGACAACACAAAAAGAGACAACACAAUGGUUAAUGUCAUUGUGUUUUCUAAUUUGCCGAUUUGUGUUUUGCACCUCAGGGCCACCGUAGACAUUAAUUAUGAGCCA